AAGCAGGGGAUCGUAAGACCUUGCGCUUUUGGAGUGGCCGAUGCCUGAUUAGCUAGUUGGUGGGGUAAGGGCCUACCAAGGCGACGAUCAGUAGUUGGUCUGAGAGGACGACCAGCCACACUGGGACUGAGACACGGCCCAGACUCCUACGGGAGGCAGCAGUGGGGAAUUUUGGACAAUGGGCGCAAGCCUGAUCCAGCAAUGCCGCGUGAGUGAAGAAGGCCUUCGGGUUGUAAAGCUCUUUCAGUUGAGAAGAAAAGGUUGUGGUAAAUAAUCACAAUUCAUGACGGUAUCGACAGAAGAAGCACCGGCUAACUACGUGCCAGCAGCCGCGGUAAUACGUAGGGUGCAAGCGUUAAUCGGAAUUACUGGGCGUAAAGGGUGCGCAGGCGGCUUUGUAAGUCAGAUGUGAAAUCCCCGGGCUUAACCUGGGAAUUGCGUUUGAAACUACAAAGCUUAG
rnacentral:rRNA from 1 species